AGGGCACCAACUAGCUAAAAAUGAGAAACAGUAAAUCAUCAUGGCUCUGACCUACACAGAUACAAAGUGAGCUUGUCGGCACUGGGGAGCUAAUCAGGAAAAGGACUGAUGGAAAGAGGAAGAGAGAACAUCUCUGUGGCAAAUCCCUCGUGACUGAGGACCGCAUAUCUGAUGAGUAAGCUUGGAUUUUGAAGACUUCAACAACUUGGCUGCAAGUUGAUGGGAGAAUUGACAUUCUAACCCAGCUCAGUUUGAAGCCUAUAGUCCACUCCACUCCACUCUACCAGCAAAGAACAUAGCCUUGCAAAACAGAGAACAGAAAACAGAAAUGCUUUUUCUUCACUCCCUGUUGGGAGGAUUCUGGAAUAGAGCUGUGAUUUGGCAUACUAUUUCUGCUCCACUUUUGAGUUUCUGCAGCAAACGGCAAGAGAAGGCUGGGGCUGGUAUAAUAAGGUCACCAGGCACCUCAGGGGAACAAAGUGGUAGCGAAAGAGGACCAGGCCGGGCCUGGUGGCUCAGGCCGGGUGUGGUAGCUCACGUCUGUAAUCCCAGAACGUUGGAAGGCCAAGGUGGGUGGAUCACCUGAGGUCAGGAGUGCGAGACCAGCCUGGCCAACAUGGUGAAACCCCGUCUCUACUAAAAAUACAAAAAUUAGCCAGGCGUGGUGGCAUGCGCCUGCAAUCCCAGCUACUCGAGAGACCGAGG
rnacentral:lncRNA from 1 species